CGAGUCUUAACUGGGCGAAUGAGUUGCAGGGUAUAGACCCGAAACCCGGUGAUCUAUCCAUGGGCAGGUUGAAGGUUGGGUAACACUAACUGGAGGACCGAACCGACUAAUGUUGAAAAAUUAGCGGAUGACUUGUGGAUGGGGGUGAAAGGCCAAUCAAACCGGGAGAUAGCUGGUUCUCCCCGAAAGCUAUUUAGGUAGCGCCUCGUGAACUCAUCUUCGGGGGUAGAGCACUGUUUCGACUAGGGGGUCAUCCCGACUUACCAACUCGAUGCAAACUGCGAAUACCGAAGAAUGUUAUCACGGGAGACACACGGCGGGUGCUAACGUCCGUCGUGAAGAGGGAAACAACCCAGACCGCCAGCUAAGGUCCCAAAGUCAUGGUUAAGUGGGAAACGAAGUGGGAAGGCUCAGACAGCCAGGAUGUUGGCUUAGAAGCAGCCAUCAUUUAAAGAAAGCGUAAUAGCUCACUGGUCGAGUCGGCCCGCGCGGAAGAUGUAACGGGGCUAAACCAUGCACCGAAGCUGCGGCAGCGACACAAAGUGUUGUUGGGUAGGGGAGCGUUCUGUAAGCCUGCGAAGGUGUACUGUGAGGUAUGCUGGAGGUAUCAGAAGUGCGAAUGCUGACAUAAGUAACGAUAAUGCGGGUGAAAAACCCGCACGCCGGAAGACCAAGGGUUCCUGUCCAACGUUAAUCGGGGCAGGGUGAGUCGACCCCUAAGGCGAGGCUGAAAAGCGUAGUCGAUGGGAAACGGGUUAAUAUUCCCGUACUGGUGGUAACUGCGAUGGGGGAACGGAGAAGGCUAGGUUGUCCGGGCGACGGUCGUCCCGGUUCAAGCAGGUAGGCAGAGUGAUUAGGCAAAUCCGGUCACUU
rnacentral:rRNA from 1 species